rnacentral:rRNA from 1 species
GAUGAACGCUGGCGGCGUGCCUAAUACAUGCAAGUCGAGCGAACAGACGAGGAGCUUGCUCCUCUGACGUUAGCGGCGGACGGGUGAGUAACACGUGGAUAACCUACCUAUAAGACUGGGAUAACUUCGGGAAACCGGAGCUAAUACCGGAUAAUAUAUUGAACCGCAUGGUUCAAUAGUGAAAGACGGUUUUGCUGUCACUUAUAGAUGGAUCCGCGCCGCAUUAGCUAGUUGGUAAGGUAACGGCUUACCAAGGCAACGAUGCGUAGCCGACCUGAGAGGGUGGUGGCCCACACGGGAACUGGGACCGCGUCCAGACUCCUACGGGAGGCAGCAGGAGGAAAUUUUCCGCAAGGGGCGAAAGCCUGCCGGAGCAACGCCGCGUGAGUGAUGAAGGUCUUCGGAUCGUAAAACCCUGUUAUUGGGGAAGAAAAAAUUUGUAAGUAACUAUGCACGUUUUGACGGUACCUAACCAGAAAGCCCCGGCUAACUACGU